rnacentral:rRNA from 1 species
AUUGAACGCUGGCGGCAUGCUUUACACAUGCAAGUCGAACGGCAGCGCGGGGGCAACCCUGGCGGCGAGUGGCGAACGGGUGAGUAAUGCAUCGGAACGUAUCCUGUAAUGGGGGAUAACGUAGCGAAAGUUACGCUAAUACCGCAUACGCUCGAGAGAGGAAAGUGGGGGAUCGCAAGACCUCACGUUAUAGGAGCGGCCGAUGUCCGAUUAGCUAGUUGGUGGGGUAAAGGCCUACCAAGGCGACGAUCGGGUAGCUGGUCUGAGAGGAUGAUCAGCCACACUGGGACUGAGACACGGCCCAGACUCCUACGGGAGGCAGCAGUGGGGAAUUUUGGACAAUGGGCGAAAGCCUGAUCCUGCCAUGCCGCGUGCGGGAAGAAGGCCUCGGUUGUAACGUACUUAGUCCGGAAAGGGUAGGACGAGGAGUAAUAACCU